UCUGGUUAUAAUUUACUGGCAUUUGAAACCUGGGUUACACUGUCAUGUUUUAUUUAUUAAGAAGAAUAAUGUAAAUGUUAUUCCAAGCACUAGUUACUUCUAAAAUUCAUAAAAUACUGUUUGCAUCCUAUGUAUUAUCAAGUGGCUGGCAGUACCUCACCCUCCCUACAAACUAGUAGUGUAAAGGAUAACAGAAUAUAUAUGAUUCCAUACAGUACAACCCCACAGUUGGGGAUUUAAAGAUUAUCCUGCAGUUCACAUGAGGUUUGACCUGCUUUAAGUACAGUUUUACUGCAGUUGCUUUUUUGCAUUAACAAAUCCUGCAAUUUGAGUUGCAGUGAAAAAAAUACAAAUUGAGCUGUUUAUCCAUAUUAUCCAUUUAUUUCUACAGGUAAGCUUUAGUGAGCUACUGAGAAUUAGCACACAUUAGCCAGUUAGUUACAGGUAUUGAUUGGGGCAUUAGCUAGCUAGCUGUGUGUGUUGGUGCUUUAGCUAGAUAGCUAAGUGUGUUUUGGUGCUUUAGCUAGCUACAUGUGUUGGUGCUUUAGCUACCUAGGUGUUUUGGUGCUUUAGCUAGGUAGCUACAUGUGUUGGUGCAUUAUGUAGGGUGACUAAAUGUCCGUAUUUCCCGGGACAUGUCCGUAUUUCGCGUCCUAUCCCGGGCGUCCCGGGUUUUUUCAAAAAGUGAGGAAAUGUCCUGGUUUUUAAAUUACCUUCAUUGGACCAUUAAAUGUACAGGCACUAGGGCACUGCGCACGGUGCUGCGUGUUACAUAAUCCCUGAGUCCUGUCAGUGAGAGCAGCCCUCUUCUUGAGGAGCCGCUCGCUGCAGCCUGUAGGAAGGCGGAGUUGGACAUCCAACCCCGCCCACAUCCAACUCCGCCCAUGUCCAACUCCGCCUUACGUCUAAAGCAACACCCACCUUACGUCCGUCACGAACGCCUACAUUUACUCCAGGUAAACAGGAAUUGUAGCCGAGAAAGCAGCUAAAGCAUCUAUCUGAUUUAUAUCUCCGGUUAUGGCGCAUCCAACACAUGUCCAGGCCACUCCUGACCCUUCACGGUUUGGCCAGUGUGGUGUUUUCAAAUGCCCCUGCUUCAGUUUUGACACUGACCAGCGAUUUAAUAACAGCCUACAUCUACAAAACCAUAUCAAACAAGCAGUCGAGAAUAACGGUAUGGGGAAGUAUUUCUUUAAACAGAGAGAGAGAUAUUGAUUUUAUUGGCUAUAACAAAUAAACAUGUAAAUGUAAUAUCUUGAAUCAACAAAUGCACUUACAUCUUACACUCAAUUGAUGGGCAUAAUGAGUUGAAGAAUAUUAAUAUUUAUAGGCUUAAUUGCAUGUUGUGUGCAUUUUGGUCUUACAGUUUCCUUCAUCUCUAAACUGCACACCUACAGCACACUUUUAUUGUGUCUAUUGCAGCCAUACAAUACUAUGCAAAGACCAGUUCAGACAUCAUGCAUCUCUGUGCAGCAGUGCAACCAAGACCAUUAUAGCAGAAGUGUUUAAUCCACAGACUGUUGCUACUUCUGAUGCACGUCCAGCUCCCCCUCUGCCAGCUACUCCUGAUACACCUUCUCCCAGUUCUGGUCUUGCUUCCUCUGUGCAUGGUAUUAAUUAUAUUAAUUAUUAUAUUUUCUCUCAGGAAAGUUCAGCAUGUUGAACGUGUGACUGAUGAAGGAGAUAGAAUGGGCAACGUCUCCUUUGAACAGAUACAGUUCUGGAUGAGGGUGACAAAGCUUUUUUAAAGCUGUCACUGGUUUGUCGUCUCUUCCGGGACAUUGUUUGGACAACAAUCAUUCCGGGCCCGGGCACAUUUCGAGUGGCUUGACAGUGUAGUGCCAUGAAAACAUCACAGUGCUGCAUGUAAAGACGAGUUUCGCAGGAUGUACGAACUGCAGUGCUGCCAGAACUGUCAAGAAACUUAUAAAGACUACAUACUGGGCUACGUUGGGCAUGGGAGACGAGGGGAGCUUGUGGCAUUUUACAGCGAAAACGAGCACCCUGGAUUCUGCAGCCAGCUUCAUGAAUGGCUGGGUGUGUGAGUGGCUGGGUGUGUGAGUGGCUGAGUGUGAGUGGCUGGGUGUUGCAUUUUUAAAUAAAGACUUCUGUAUUUGUUUGACCAAAGCAUGUA